ensembl:snRNA U6 U6 spliceosomal RNA
GCACUCACUUCAGCAGAGUAUAUACUAAAAUUGAAAUGGUAAAGAGAAAAUUAUCAUGGCCCCUGUCAAAGAUGACAUGCAAAUUUGUGAAGCAUUCCAUAUUUUU